UGGGGAAUAUUGCACAAUGGGGGAAACCCUGAUGCCGCGACGCCGCGUGAGCGAAGAAGGUUUUCGAAUCGUAAAGCUCUGUCCUAUGAGAAGAUAAUGACGGUAUCAUAGGAGGAAGCCCCGGCUAAAUACGUGCCAGCAGCCGCGGUAAUACGUAUGGGGCGAGCGUUGUCCGGAAUUAUUGGGCGUAAAGGGUACGUAGGCGGUCUAUUAAGUCAGGUGUGAAAGCGUGAGGCUUAACCUCAUUAAGCACUUGAAACUGAUAGACUUGAGUGAAGGAGAGGAAAGUGGAAUUCCUAGUGUAGCGGUGAAAUGCGUAGAUAUUAGGAGGAAUACCGGUGGCGAAGGCGACUUUCUGGACUUUUACUGACGCUCAGGUACGAAAGCGUGGGGAGCAAACAGG
rnacentral:rRNA from 1 species